rnacentral:lncRNA from 1 species
UUUAUGCAGAAAUUUCGAAAAUUACACAUUUUACCCCAAAAUCUCUAGAUCUAUACAUGCAAGACCACUAGAAGUUCAAAAAUCACUUUUUCUUACAAAACUCCUUUAAAUCCAAAAUUUUUGUUCAAUAAACGCUGGAAAACAGUUUUGAAAACACAUUUAGGACUGACUUCUCAAAAAUUACAGAUUUUACCCAAAACUUUUGAAGAUCUACACAUGCAACCCCAUAAAAGUUCAAAAAUUCAUUUUUCUUGAAACCCCUUUUU